UGGGGGAUAUUGCGCAAUGGGGGCAACCCUGACGCAGCAACGCCGCGUGAAGGAUGAAGGUUUUCGGAUUGUAAACUUCUUUUAUUAAGGACGAAUAAUGACGGUACUUAAUGAAUAAGCUCCGGCUAACUACGUGCCAGCAGCCGCGGUAAUACGUAGGGAGCAAGCGUUGUCCGGAUUUACUGGGUGUAAAGGGUGCGUAGGCGGCUAAGCAAGUCAGAUGUGAAAUCUAUGGGCUCAACCCAUAAACUGCAUUUGAAACUGCAUAGCUUGAGUGAAGUAGAGGCAGGCGGAAUUCCCCGUGUAGCGGUGAAAUGCGUAGAGAUGGGGAGGAACACCAGUGGCGAAGG
rnacentral:rRNA from 1 species